rnacentral:rRNA from 1 species
GCUUAUCACCAUUCCAGAUUGAAUAUUCCCGAUCUCGUCUGAUCUCGGAAGUCAAGCAAUCUCGGGCUUGGUUAGUACUUGGAUGGUGACCGUUGGGAAUAGAAGUGG